rnacentral:rRNA from 1 species
GAAGCAAAGCCGCGAGGUAGAGCAAAUCUCAAAAAAACAAUCUCAGUUCAGACUGCAGGCUGCAACUCGCCUGCACGAAGUCGGAAUUGCUAGUAAUCGCGGAUCAGCAUGCCGCGGUGAAUACGUUCCCGGGCCUUGUACACACCGCCCGUCACACCAUGGGAGUUUGUAACGCCUAAAGUCGGUGGCCUAACCUUUAUGGAGGGAGCCGCCUAAGGCGGGACAGAUGACUGGGGUGAAGUCGUAACAAGGUAAC